rnacentral:rRNA from 1 species
CGCGUAGGCGGCUCUGUAAGUCGAAUGUGAAGGCCCCGGGCUUAACCUGGGAAUUGCGUUCGAUACUGCGGAACUAGAGUAUGGUAGAGGGAAGUGGAAUUUCCGGUGUAGCGGUGAAAUGCGUAGAUAUCGGAAGGAACACCAGUGGCGAAGGCGACUUCCUGGGCCAAUACUGACGCUGAGGUGCGAAAGCGUGGGGAGCAAACA